rnacentral:rRNA from 1 species
GAUGAACGCUGGCGGCGUGCCUAAUACAUGCAAGUCGAGCGAACAGACGAGGAGCUUGCUCCUCUGACGUUAGCGGCGGACGGGUGAGUAACACGUGGAUAACCUACCUAUAAGACUGGGAUAACUUCGGGAAACCGGAGCUAAUACCGGAUAAUAUAUUUAACCGCAUGGUUCAAUAGUGAAAGACGGUUUUGCUGUCACUUAUAGAUGGAUCCGCGCCGCAUUAGCUAGUUGGUAAGGUAACGGCUUACCAAGGCAACGAUGCGUAGCCGACCUGAGAGGGUGAUCGGCCAAACUGGAACUGAGACACGGUCCAGACGCCUACGGGAGGCAGCAGUAGGGAAUCUUACGCAAUGGGCGAAAGCCUGACGGAGAAACGCCGCGUGAGUGAUGAAGGUCUUCGGAUCGUAAAACUCUGUUAUUAGGGAAGAACAAAUGUGUAAGUAACUAGGCACGUCUUGACGGUACCUAAUCAGAAAGCCACGGCUAACUAAGUG